UUCUAUUGGAAAGACCUUAGGCUUUUGGUCUCCACUCUAGAAUGAACUGUUCAGACUGCCGCGGGAAGCGUUCCUGGAGCUAUAACUGCGCAGGCGCAAGGACAGCCAACCCGGAAGGCGGAAGAGCCGGUUCGGACAGUUGGGGUCGGGAGCGCAGAGUGUGUUAACCAAUGACCUGAAGGAGUAGGGAGGGCGAGAUUAGGCCCGGAGUUGGUUAACGCUACCCUGGUGGGGGGUGAUUUACGAAAUGGGGUGAAGAGUCGUUCAAUGGCCCUUCAAGUCACCAUUCUUCUGGCCCGCGGAAGUUAAGCAACGCAGAGGCGGGCCUAAGACCGGAAGCGGGAAGGAGUGCGCCGGAAGCAGGGCGCCGUAGCCAGUCGCGCUGUAGGUCCGUGGGUCUAUCGGUCCCGAGGGCAGGAUGGAGAAGCUGCGGCUCCUGGGCCUCCUCUACCAGGAGUACGUGACUCGUCACCCGGCUGCCACGGCCCAGCUGGAGACGGCAGUGCGGGGCCUCAGUUACCUGCUGGCAGGUCGUUUCGCAGAUUCGCACGAGCUGUCAGAGCUGGUGUACUCUGCCUCCAACCUGCUCGUGCUGCUCAAUGACGGGAUCCUACGGAAGGAGCUUCGAAGAAAGUUACCUGUGUCCCUGUCCCAGCAAAAGCUGCUGACAUGGCUGAGCGUGCUGGAGUGCGUGGAGGUGUUCAUGGAGAUGGGGGCUGCCAAGGUGUGGGGCGAAGUGGGACGUUGGCUCGUCGUUGCCCUCAUCCAGCUGGCCAACCACCUCCCCACGCCAGCCUCGCCGUACUCCCAACCCAGGGCUGUACUGCGGAUGUUCCUGCUGAUCUGGUUCAAGGCUGGUCUCCAGACCUCACCCCCCAUCGUUCCGCUGGACAGGGAGGCCCAGGCACAGUCCCAGGAUGGUGACCGCAGCCCGGGCAGCCAGGAGCAGUCAUAUGUGGGGAAGCGGUCAAAGCGAGUGGUGCGAACUCUCCAGGACACUCCGUCCCUGCACUCAAGGCACUGGGGAGCCCCCCAGCAGCGGGAGGGACGGCAGCAGCAGCACGAGGAGCUGAGCAUCACCCCCACCCCGCUGGGGCUGCAGGAGACCAUCGCAGAGUCCUUGUAUAUUGCCCGGCCCCUGCUGCACUGUAUCUUUGGCCUGGGGUGGGGUGGGAUAGACGGGAGUGGGCAGGGCGGGCCACGUGCUGGAGACAUCCUUGACGCCUUGGCCGUCAGUGCUCAGCCUGGGCCUAUGGGGUCAGCGGUCGUGGACACCCUGGCUCCUGUCUGGUGUCGUGGAUGUGACCAGCCUGAGCCUCCUGAGCGAGAGGAAGGGCCUGACCCGGAGGGAGCGGCUGGAGCUGCGGCGCCGGACCAUCUUGCUGCUCUACUACCUGCUGCGCUCCCCGUUCUACGACCGCUUCUCCGAGGCCAAGAUCCUCUUUUUGCUCCAGCUGCUGGCAGACCAUGUCCCAGGCAUUGGCCUGGUCACAAGGCCACUCAUGGAUUACUUGCCUACCUGGCAGAAAAUUUAUUUCUACAGUUGGGGCUGACAGACAUUCCACAAUUGGGGUGUGGGGAAGGGCAGGGGGUGCCUCAACCCUUCAGUCCCCUGGUCCCCUCUGCCCUAAUAAAACUGACUCUGGCAGUGUCCAAGCCUGUGACCUUUCCGUGCCCACUGCCCAGGGUGCCUGGCGCUCCCACCCUGGCCAGGCUCUGCACACAGCCCUGGUCACCACUAGAUCUCCCCUAAUAGCCUUUUGACUUUGCAUCCUCCAGUGAUGGAGACACAAGCCUGCACCUUGUCACUGAGCUGGGAGGCCACCGCUAGGACUGGGACCUGGGCUCCUCCAGCCACAGAAAGCUGGCGUUUCACCUCACCGAGCAUGGGAACCUGCCUGCCACCACAGCUGCGGGAGUGAACGCUGCUUCUCUCUCACCGGUCCCUAUUGACGACAAACGAGGCUGAACCUAGACAGUGGAUGACAGCUGCCCCUGUGUCUUCUGGCCGGAGCCUCUGUCUGCCCCUCCCCCUGCCGGGGCCUGUUGCCUGCCAGCCGCUCCGUGGUGGAGCCCGGUGAUGGUGGGCCCGGCUCAGUGCAGAGCGGCACCUCAAGUCCUGAACUCCUGCUUGAGAGCAAAAGGCUGUUCUGCUGUGGGAAAGGAGCGUCAGGCACCAGCCAGCAUUGGGGCUGACACCGGGGCGGUGGUGAGGGAGCCGAGGCCCACAGAGAUGAAGCGGUGUGUCCGCCUAGCAAGAGGCGAGGUCAGGGUCCGAACUGAGACCUGUGCCCGUAACCAGUGAUGGCAGCAACACGGUGUGGUGUGGCCCCUGCGGGUCCAUAGCCUCAGUAAAAUCAAACCACCCUCAGCGUGGAGGUUUCCAGCCUAGCCCCGGCGCUGGUGCUGACGCGGAGCCCCGGAACGCGCGCCCUUUGUGAGGUGGCCCUGGGAGUUGGCAGCAGGUUCUGUCCUGCCGGGGGAGGGGCGGGCAGAAGCCUGGAGCAGGGACCCAAGUCGAAGAUGGUUCUCGUUCUCGCCAUGCUGGGGGCUCUGUACCCCAGGGCCGCGCUGAGCCGCCGCCUCCUCAGCCUCAUCCUGGCGGCUGCGCUCCUCUGCCCCGAGGCGCUAAGGUAACUCCUGGGGACACGGGGUCAGGGCUCAACAGGGCCAGGGGCCUGGAAGGUGGGGACUCUGCAGUGCGGCCCCACCCUGGCCCGUUUCCCCCUCUGCUGGGAGGCGGUGGUUUCCCUUUGGGGCCUGGGCUGAGCACCCCACAUCUCCCGCAGGCCCCAGCGAUCUGUUCCUGAGGAAUUUUCAGCCCCCCUGGAACUCUUGGAGCCACUUUCUGGCCUGGUGGACGGUAGUAUCUCCUCCUUCCCCUACCCCUUCCCCUCCUCUGCCCCCAGCCCUACCUGGUGGGGGAGAGAUGCCCUAGGAGAGGGCGCCCAGGUCCAGCCUGAGGGCCUUCUCGUCCCAAACGGCAUCUGCCUGGGGACGUCUUCAGUGGACGCAGAACAGAUUCUCCCUCCCGCUCAUACCCUCUUCUCUCUCCUUAGACUAUGGGGUGCGACCCAAGCACCCAUGGCCACGACGGCCUCGACCCCUUCUCUCCCGGGCCCAGCAGCGCAAGCGGGCCGGGCCGGACGUGGCCGAGUAUUAUGACGCGCACCUGUGACGGGAACCCUUAUGACGCGCACCUGUGACGGGAACCCCUCAUAAAGCUAUUCUGUGCAGCAACGGCUUGGGCUUUCCCGGGAUGGAAAGGAACCGGGCGAGGGAGGGGGUCCAAGUAGACAAGCAGAUGAGACCCACUGCGGUCCCAACAGGAAAUGGCACUUUAAUAGUUGUGGCCAGCAUACAGGACUGAGAUGGGGCUACCGCCGAAGCAGCCAAGGGGCCUGGCGGGCCCAGGCCGGGGCGGAAGCCGCCUUUUCCUGCUGAGGUGGGGCCCCCUGCGGCGCUCUCCCUCCCUGUGAGGCCGCACCCCUGCCAGGGGCUGGCAUGCCGGUGAUGGUAGGAGCCACCCAGAGGCCACACAAGUGACAGGGCUGGGGACAGGGACUGCACCCCUGCCUGCUGCUGUUUUCCUUGCUGCAAAGCCCUCGGGAGGUGGCUGGGCUCAGCCUGAGCUCAGGGCCCUCCGGGAGCUGGGGGCGGGGGUGGGGUGGGCACUCACAGGUGGCGUGAGCUUUGUAGAGGCCCGGAGGCCCUGGCAGGGAAAGUGAGGGAGGCCCAAGAUGAGACAGAACCCUCCGCUCCGAGGAUGGGCACCCUUCCUGGCCAGAGGCUUAACACCACCCCCCAGCCCCACUCCCUCCCAAUCCCUGGGCAGCCCGCUCCGUCCUCCAUAGAUGAAGCUGAUCCCAUAUAUUACGAUAAACUGCAUUUGCCUCUCCCCAUAACCCCCACCCUCCCCCACCCUCGGCCAACAGCCCCCCCGCUUCCCCAUCCUCUGGUAGUGGCAGGUGCCCCUCCUCAAGCAGUGCCAUGUCCUGUCAGCAGCCAGCCGUCCUGGCGCUGGCCCCAGGGCCCAGGGGAUGCAGAGGGCGAGGCAGCGCUGCUACUCCAGGUAGAUAUCUUCUGUGGGGCAGGUGUACUCCACGAACUGCUUGUAGAACUGCUGGAACGCUCUCCUAGGAGGCAGGCAGACACACCAGAAUGACUGGGGAGGAACAGGAUCUCGACCCAGGGUUUUCACACUGGAGCCUCGGGGUACCCGGAUGGGGCUGCGCCUCCCCCAGCCAGAGCUGCUCAGCUCUGUUCUUUGCACACAGUGUUUCCUGAGUGAGAUUUCAACUAAAGAAAGGGCCCAGCAACCAAGAAGUUCGGACCUCAAGACCACCCAGCCCUCUCUCCAGGCCUCUGUGACCCAAGGACGCCAUGCCGAGUGCCGGGGAGGCCUGAGGGAUGCUGCCAAGCAUGAGGAACGUGUUCGGGGCCUGAGACCGGGGCUGGCUACAGGGCUGGGUGUUUGGCAGGACACACACACACGUACCCCACGGAUUCUGCCAGGGCUUUGGUGGAUUCUUCAGACACAAAGACAUGGCAGGCGAACCGGUGGUCGGCAGGGUGCUUGGUGAUGAACCCAAAAUACCUGUGGGAGGACAGCAGUCUGUCUGGGCGGGACGGGAGCUCAGAACCCUCAGGCACACACGUGGACCCACGCCCUGAACCACCACCCGCGCCUUGACCUCUUCCCCGUCGUGUUCUUACUUGUUGUUCUUUGGAUGGUACCCGCAGAAAGAGAUGUUUUUUAACUGGAAAAA